UGCCAGUGCGGGAGAUCGGGGAUGAUCAGCGGGCACUGAAAAACAACUCUUGCUUUUCCAAGGGGUUUCACACAAAUUUGCCCCCCCUCGGAGCGGGUAGCGACAAGAUCAGAGAUGCGGAGCCUUCCGGGCGCCGCUGGGUGGGGCGGGCGUGCGCGCGCGCCCAUCUUGGCUAGCACCGCGCCUUCCUGAGUCGCGCUUUCCGGACGCGGUCUCAGAUUUGGGAGGUUGGGACCUGGAGCGAAACCCCAAACCCUCCCUGCGCGCUAGUCGCGACCUUAGCAUAUUCUAAUUCCAUUCUGCCUUUUACAGAGGAGGGGAGGAAGGCCAUCCCAAGCCUCCUGGAGGCUUUACCUGGUGAAGAAGACGAGCAGCCACUGCAGCGCGGUGGAGAGAGUAUCCUGGCUGGCGCCGAAGAUGUCUGUGACGGUGGCCGGCACGUACUCUUCGUCCAGCCGCGCGCCGCCGUCGCCAGAGCCCGCGGCAGCUUCCUUUCCUGCUGAGAGCAUGAAGGCGUCCAUCAUGUCGCGGGGAGCGGCCCCGGGCCGAAGGCUUUCACGGUGCCUCAGGAACUUGUCUAGGACGAAGCUGCUGAAGUUGCGAUUGAGCGUCUCGAAUUCACGGAAGGCAGUGCGCACAGGGUUGGGGAAGCGCUGCAGCCAGGGCAGCACGUCCACCAGGCUGCCCGCGCCCACCGUGCGCCCGAACUCCUCGUUGUGGCUGAGCAGCUCUCGGAACUCGGCGUCGUCGUGGCUGUAGCGGCAGCCGAAGCACACGGCGCUCAUGACGUUGGCCACGGCCACCACGGUCAGCGGCCGCGGGUCGAGAAAGGCGCCGCCCGCGCUGCCGCGCACCAGCAGCUCCACCAACUCCCGCGCCUCGCCCAGCACGUGGCCCUCGAGCACCCGGCGGCCGCGCGGCUGGCGCGUGGAGAAGGCUCGCAUCGUGCUGUACGCCGCGCGCCGCUGCGCCUUCCAGCUCUCCGAAUACUGGCCGAAAGCCAGGCUGCGGCCACCAGACACCACGCGGAAAGAGGCGAAGGGCGGCCGGUCGGCGAACGCGGCGCCCUGCUGCACCAGGGCCUGGCGGAUGGCGCGCUCGCCGUUCAGCACCACCACCGGGCAGCUGCCCAGGCGGAUCUGGAAGACGUCGCCGUAGCGCCGCGCCAGGCGUGCGAACGAGACGUGAGGCGCCGGGCCCAUUGACGCCGCAUUUCCGAUCAGCGGCCAAGCGAAGGGACCCGGGGGCGCGGACCCCGGCUGCCGCCGCCGCUGCCUCAACAGCCACUGGCCCACGUGCACCGCGGCCAGUACCGAGAGCAGCAACAGGAGCAUGGUCUGCUGGGCCGACAGAGGGAUAGGCGGCAGAUGAUCGUCCGGGCUGAGGCUGGUGGCCAUGCUGGGGAGAGAAGGGCGAAGGCGUGACACUCAGGCAAGAACAUUGCAGGACUUCCCCGGUGGCGCAGUGGUUAAGAAUCUGCCUGCCAAUGCAGGGGCACGGGUUCAAGCCCUGGUCCGGGAAGAUCCCACAUGCCGCGGAGCAACUAAGCCCGUGCGCCACAACAACUGAGCCUGCGCUCCAGAGCCCGCGAGCCACAACUACUGAGCCCGCAUGCCACAACUACUGAAGCCCGCGUGCCUAGAGCCCGUGCUCUGCAACAAGAGAAGCCACAGCAAUGAGAAGCCCGCACACCGCAACGAAGAGUAGCCCCUGCUCACCGCAACUAGAGAAAGCUCGCGCGCAGCAACGAAGACCCAACGCAGCCAACAAUUUUACUUACACUUCCCUACAGAGACCAUCCCAACUGGAGCAAUCCACAUAGGCGUGGAAGAAUUAAAAAUCUAGACCCUUUCAUCAGGACUGCCUUUCCCAAGGGUUUCUGUCCCUGACAAAUGAAAUUCUCUUCCCAGCUGAGAGUUACGGACAAAUCAAGGAAGAUGGGUCUGUGGUUCAUCUUACGGCUCCCCCUUCAACAAAUCCAACUUGCUUCACAAGAGUCAGCUGGGAAUGGCCUCCAAAGAAAACAACCAGUUGGAUUAUAUGAAUUCAUGACUGUCAGAGCAAUAAAGCCUUGCUCUUUCCCCUUCUCCUUCAAAAGUUUAGCAAGGACACGCUUUCCCCACAUAGCCUGCAUAGCCUCGUAACAGCUGUCCCAGAGGAUGGAUUGCACAUGGAUUACAACGAAUCGGGGUCAAGAAGAGAUUGCCUACAGUUUUGCCCAGAGCUCUUCUUGGGCUGAGAAAGUGUGUGCGCCCUCAGAUAUUUUCCUACCCCCUAUGGUACUAGUUCCUACCUUCUAUGCAUUUCUGUCAUUGAACAACUAAGAAGCUAUUAAUUUGAUUUCUUCUAAGGACUGAAGGAGCUCCUUAGUCCCUCAAAAUACAACAGAGGAAAAAUCUGUUCAGCCUAAAUUUAAAAUCCAAACAUUUGAAGUGAUCAUCAUGUCCACAUGCUAUGUAAUACAACUUUCUUUUAAAAAGAAAAUCCUGGUGAUUGUACUAUUUUAUGUAGAAUGCUGUUCAGUCUAGAGCCAUUUCAAACUCUCAAAACUUUAUACAUGCAACGAAAGCAAACUGAAAGUGAAAGUCACUCAGUUUACUCUUAUUUCUAAGAUUAGUUUCAACCUCCCUGGUUUUCAACACUCAUGCCAGUGUCCAGACUUGCAGCCACAGCAAGGGAUUUCCUCAGCCACAUAGAGAACCUGGAAUAAAUUACUCUGGAGGAAUGGGUGCUAUUUCUAAGUUUGUGGUCGGCUUCACUGUAUUUAAAGUAAAGGUUAUUAGACACUAAUGCUGCACAGAUUUCCUAAAUACUUUGUAUUGCCAAUGCCAGAGCCAGAUGUGAACCAUAUCAGGAGAGACAUGCAUGACAGCGUUUUCCUAAAUGCCCGUGAUGAAUUAUAAUUUGCAAAGGGGAAAAUUGCAGCUGUGUGGUGCCAGGGUAAUUUCCUCCAAAUACCACUCCCAUCAGGUCAUUUUCUCAUCAGGGAGAGCUAGGGCUCUCUUUUGUGUGAAAUCUAAAGGCUGGUAUUAAAGACCUCAGUCAUCUGCCUGCCCUACCUUGAGACCAGCCAAAAGGAUCCCUACACCCCAGGACGACCUCUUUAUUCUCCUCCUAUAUACUUUGCUUGGGUGGCUCCCUCUGGAAUCCAUAGCUCCAAUGUCCAUCAAAACCUGGCUCAAACCUCAUUAAU